AAUCUUCCACAAUGGACGAAAGCCUGAUGGAGCAACGCCGCGUGAGUGACGAAGGUUCUCGGAUCGUAAAGCUCUGUUGUAAGGGAAGAACAAUUACAGGAGUAACUGUCUGUACCUUGACGGUAACUUACCAGAAAGCCCCGGAUAACUACGUGCCAGCAGCCGCGGUAAUACGUAGGGGGCAAGCGUUUGACGGAAUUAUUGGGCGUAAAGCGCGCGCAGGCGGUCCUUUAAGUCUGAUGUGAAAGCCCACGGCUCAACCGUGGAGGGUCAUUGGAAACUGGAGGACUUGAGUACAGAAGAGGAAAGCGGAAUUCAACGUGUAGCGGUGAAAUGCGUAGAGAUGUGGAGGAACACCAGUGGCGAAGGCGGCUUUCUGGUCUGUAACUGACGCUGAGGCGCGAAAGCGUGGGGAGCAAACA
rnacentral:rRNA from 1 species